CCUGAGCAGGCAAGUCCUCUUCCCUUCUCACUCAGCUUCCCUUGCAGUGGGGUGGGGGCUGUGCAUUCUCAGCAAGAAGGUGAGUAGGAACAGCGUGACUCUUGGGAGUUGGCAAGAGUGGGUGUGGGUUCUCCACGCUUUCUCUCUCCCAUCCAUGAGAAUCUAAUGCCUGAUGAUCUGUCACUGUCUCCUAUCACCCCCAUGUUAG
rnacentral:lncRNA from 1 species